rnacentral:rRNA from 1 species
CGAGCGAACAGACGAGGAGCUGCUCCUCUGACGUUAGCGGCGGACGGGUGAGUAACACGUGGAUAACCUACCUAUAAGACUGGGAUAACUUCGGGAAACUGGAGCUAAUACCGGAUAAUAUAUUGAACCGCAUGGUUCAAUAGUGAAAGACGGUUUUGCUGUCACUUAUAGAUGGAUCCGCGUCGCAUUAGCUAGUUGGUAAGGUAACGGCUUACCAAGGCGACGAUGCGUAGCCGACCUGAGAGGGUGAUCGGCCACACUGGAACUGAGACACGGUCCAGACUCCUACGGGAGGCAGCAGUAGGGAAUCUUCCGCAAUGGGCGAAAGCCUGACGGAGCAACGCCGCGUGAGUGAUGAAGGUCUUCGGAUCGUAAAACUCUGUUAUUAGGGAAGAACAAAUGUGUAAGUAACUAUGCACGUCUUGACGGUACCUAAUCAGAAAGCCACGGCUAACUACGUGCCAGCAGCCGCGGUAAUACGUAGGUGGCAAGCGUUAUCCGGAAUUAUUGGGCGUAAAGCGCGCGUAGGCGGUUUUUUAAGUCUGAUGUGAAAGCCCACGGCUCAGCCGUGGAGGGUCAUUGGAAACUGGAAAACUUGAGUGCAGAAGAGGAAAGUGGAAUUCCAUGUGUAGCGGUGAAAUGCGCAGAGAUAUGGAGGAACACCAGUGGCGAAGGCGACUUUCUGGUCUGUAACUGACGCUGAUGUGCGAAAGCGUGGGGAUCAAACAGGAUUAGAUACCCUGGUAGUCCACGCCGUAAACGAUGAGUGCUAAGUGUUAGGGGGUUUCCGCCCCUUAGUGCUGCAGCUAACGC